UACGAAGGGUGCAAGCGUUACUCGGAAUUACUGGGCGUAAAGCGUGCGUAGGUGGUUUGUUAAGUCUGCUGUGAAACCCCGGGCUCAACCUGGGAAUGGCAGUGGAUACUGGCAAGCUAGAGUGCGGUAGAGGGUAGUGGAAUUCCCGGUGUAGCGGUGAAAUGCGCAGAUAUCAGGAAGAACACCCGUGGCGAAGGCGGCUCUCUGGGACGGUACUGACGCUGAGACGCGAAAGCGUGGGGAGCGAACAGG
rnacentral:rRNA from 1 species